GGCAGACUUGCCGCUCUGGCAGCGGUGACUGGGGUCGAGUCUCGUUGGGUAUUUUCUGAGCUGCGGGAAUGGAGGCGUCGCGCUGCCGACUCGGACCGCUCGGAGGCAGUGCCUUUGAAGAUGAGACCAUGAAGCUUCGACAGCUGAAACUAGAUAAUCAGCGAGCACUCCUGGAGAAGAAACAGAGAAAAAAGCGCCUGGAGCCACUCAUGGUACAGCCAAAUCCAGAAGCCAGGCUACGUCGGUCAAAGCCAAGAGGUUGUGAGGAGCAAACUCCUUUGGUGGAACCUCACACCCCUCACAACAAUGUCAUCCUACAUGGCAUUGAUGGUCCAGCUGCCUUCCUGAAGCCAGAUGCUCAAGAUGUGGAAACCAAAUUUCACGUUCUCUCAGUUGGCUCUUCUGCUACAGAAGAGGAUACUGAAGGAAGUGUUGAUGGGGAAAGCACUUUGGAUACUGAGUCUAAGCCAGAUCUUCAGGAGAUUCUCCAAAAACAUGGUAUCUCAGGUAGUUUGAACUUUGAUGAGGAGACUGAUGGGGAAGAAGAAGGAGAAAAAUUAAGAUCUCAUUCACCACGUUCAGGGGCAGAAAGAUCUAGUUCUUCAUCCAGCCAGAAGUCAACCACAGAUACAGGAGCUUCUGGUAUUUCAGCCCAACAAAAUGAUAACCAGCUGGGAGAAGUGGAGAAUUUAGAGGACUUUGCUUAUAGUCCUGCCCCUCGAGGCAUCACAGUCAAGUGUCGGAUAACCAGAGAUAAAAAAGGAAUGGAUGGGGGUCUCUUUCCCACUUACUAUAUGCACUUGGAAAAGGAUGAAAAUCGGAAGAUAUUUCUUCUUGCAGGUAGAAAGCGAAAAAAGAGCAAAACAUCCAAUUACCUUAUCUCUACUGAUCCAACAGAUUUAUCUCGUGAAGGAGAAAGUUAUAUUGGCAAACUCAGAUCCAACCUCAUGGGGACCAAGUUUACAGUUUAUGACCAUGGUGUCAGCCCCGCCAAAGCUCAAGGUCUGGUAGAAAAGGCCUAUACCCGGCAGGAGCUGGCAGCCAUCUGCUACGAAACAAAUGUACUUGGAUUUAAAGGUCCUAGGAAAAUGUCUGUGAUCAUUCCAGGGAUGAAUAUGAAUCAUCAACGGAUCCCAUUUUGGCCACGAAACGACCAUGAGAGCUUGCUUUCAAAAUGGCAAAACAAAACCAUGGAGAACUUGAUUGAGCUGCACAACAAGGCCCCAGUCUGGAAUGAUGACACUCAGUCCUAUGUCCUGAACUUCCAUGGCCGGGUCACUCAGGCUUCUGUGAAGAACUUUCAGAUAGUACACGAAAAUGACCCUGACUAUAUAGUCAUGCAGUUUGGACGUGUGGCAGACGACGUGUUCACCCUGGAUUACAACUACCCACUGUGUGCACUUCAGGCCUUCGCCAUUGGGCUUUCUAGCUUUGACAGCAAGCUAGCGUGUGAAUGAGACGGAAAGCACACACAGAGCUGGACUUUCUCACUACAGAGCUUUCAGGAGCAGGUAGUUGCCUACCUUGCUCUUGGCCCAGGACAUGAAGAGAGACAAUCUGCACCUUUUGGAAUAAUCCCUGAAUGUAUGUGUGUGUAUAUGUGUAUAUACAUACAUGUAUGUGUUAUGUAUACACAUGUAGACACACACACCCCACUUCUCUGGAUUUCACAGACCUGGUCAAGGACUAUAGGUUAACAUACGUGAGAAAUUAUUAAUUAAAAGCAGAGGAAGGCUUUUGUCCAGAGCACAAUGAUAGCCCUUGAGGUUAUUGCCUCUUAUAGAUUCUGUGCAAGAGUCAGAUUUCCUUGGAAACUUGUAGCUAGAAUCAGGUUCUAAUUAAAUACUUGGGUGUCUUUUUUGAAGACAUUUUCAGAGAGGAACAGUUCCCUAAAUUGACUUUAGUCUCUAACUUUAGGUCUGCAAACUUUUUCCCCUCAAGGGCCAGAUGGUCUCUCUCAGAACUACUCAGUUCUGUCAUUGUAGUGCAGAAGUAGCCAUGGCCAGUUCAUAUAUGGAUGAGGGUGGCCUUAUUCUGGUGAAACUUUAUAAAACCAGGCAGUAGCCAGAUUUGGCCUGUGGGCCAUAGUUUGCCAACCUCUGCUUCAGGUAUAUCUUUAUACUCUCUGGACUUGGGCGUUUCCAGAAGAGGCUCCUAUUAUGCAACGGUAUGAGUGGGAAAUGGAGAAGUCCUACAGAUUGGAUCCAGAGAGGUGCUCAGCUGCAUUCACUGUUAACAAAGCACUACCUUGUUUUGGUGACGAUGGUUUCUAGAGUAUUGUUCAUCAUCAGAACUGGAAAACUCCAAGGUCCACGAUCAUUUUGAGUCCACACAGGUGGCUUAAUUCCCCUAACCUGCCUGACACACCUAUAGGAGAAGACAAUGCCAGCCACUUUACCUUCCCCAAGAAAAGAACUUGCGCUCACUAGGAAACAAAUCUAGAAUUGUAUUGUUUUAACAACAGGGAGUAUAGUAUUUGUUUCUUAGAGCUAGCUUGGUGUCCCCAUGGUGCUUGGAAGGUACUGAUGUCAGUCCCCCUCUUUCCUCAGAGCAGAUUGGCUGGCACCAAGUUCAGUCAAAGAGCCUAUGGCCACAUUUGUGACUGGUGAUGUGAGAAUUUUAUAUAAUUGUCUUAAUUUCAGUUCAGACUAAAAACUCCAGAGGUGACUUAGUCUACUUAAGACUGAGAGUAAUUUGACAGAUGCCUUCAUUUUCAACCCAGGAGUGCCUCCCCAGCUGUAUUAAUAUGGAGCGAUGGUUCAAAGGGACACACACACCUGUAGACCAUGUAAGAAGUAAGAGAUUAUUAUGUGUUGAAACUCUGUCAUUAUCAAAAGUGGUGGCGGGAGAGGCUUGGUGGCAACCAGCUAACUCCUGAGCUCUGCAGACCUUACUGGGCAGAACUUGGGGCCUUUCUUCUUGAAAUAAAUAUUAUCAGCUCCCUAAAGCCUGGUUCAUUGGUACAGAUGAAGCUCCUGUCUUCCUCAUAGAUCAUGAGUUUUGCUAAGUUGUUCAGAUUAUUAGCACCUCUGCUGAUAAUGUGACUCUGCUGUCAGCUCACCUGUCUCAGAGUGUACCUGAAUCUUGAGAAUCCAGUAAUUUUGUGAGUGCUGCAUUCAGCAAUGCUCAACACCCAAGCCUUUGUGCAUUGAGCUGUUUGCCAGUGUGGGGCAAGAUAUCAGUGGUCAUUGUUCCAUUUUGUUUCCCUUCUGUGGACUCUCUUUUUGCCUCUGCUUCCUGUUGUUCCAUGCUCCAUAUCAAAAAGCAUUGUGACAGAAGGCGGUCUGUGAGAUGAAAAGUCCUUUGGCUUCUCCCCACUUGAAAGUCCUAUGUGAUGUGUUUUGUCAUGAUUGGUUUCCAUCUCAGGCAUGCUUCCAUCAAGUGCCUCCUUCAUAGAAGUGCCCAAAGCCCUUCAGACCUCUGGCACCACCUUCCUCAAGUACUGUCAGCUCUGGCCCCAGAUGCAGCCGCCACAGUGAUGUUGAUGCCCAAGAACCAGAUUGUCGUUUAUGAACUUUUUAAGGAGGGAGUGAUGGUAGUUAAGAAGGAUGUGCACAUGGCUAAAUACCCUGAGCUGGCAGACAAGAAUGUGCCUAAUCUUCACGUUAUGAAGGCCAUGCAGUCUCUCAAAUCACGACGUGAUGGAACAGUUUACCUAGAGGCAUUUCUACUGGUACCUUACUAACAAGGGCAUCCAGUAUCUCCGUGUUUACUUCUCCCUGCCCCCUAAGAUCGUGCACUGCAGAUGCCCUGAGAUUGGCAGGCCAAAGCCCACAUGUCUGGAGAACAAGUGACCUGCAAGACUCAUACAAGGGAAAGCUGACAGAGACAUUUACAGAUGGAGUGCUGUGCCCCCUGGUGCAGACCCUGAAGCCCAAGCCAGGGCUGCGUCA